GACCGGUUCACCUGUGUAUAAAAGUGCCGUACACAACAGAGGGACCAGCAGUCGCAGCAGUGCAAUCACUCAGCCAGCCAUGAAGAUCGUCGCUCUCCUGCUUGUGGUCUGCACCUCCGUGGCCUGGGCGAAGCCUUCGUGCAUCGAGAACAUUUGCCUGCCCACCAGUCAAGGCAGUGGGGUGGGAGCUACGGGAGAUAUCACAAGUGGCACAAGGUUUGGCAAUCUCGUCGAUUUCGUCGUCCUUACGGCCGCCCGUGUCAAGACUCUGCCCUCCAGGGCCCCUGCAGCAGCCGCAAUAGUGCAACCAUUCAGGCGGCCAUGAAGGUCGUCGCUCUCCUGCUUGUGGUCUGCACCUCCGUGGCCGGGGCGAAGCCUUUUUGCAUCGGGAGCAUCUGCCUGCCCACCAGUCAAGCCAGUGGGGAGGGGGGGGGGGGGGGGCUACGGGAGAUGUCACAAGUGGCACAAGCACUGGCCCUUUUGGCUCUAGCAAGAUUACGUCCGUCAGGGCCUCUGCAGGGGGAUCUGCCAGGGGACUGUGUGCAAACAGCUUAAGCACGGGACAAGCCUUCAACUUUAACUCACAAGAUAUCUUUGGCAAUACGGAUGAAAGUGACACUAAUGCUGUCUCAAACCAGCAAACCGGCUGCUCAGUGACUCAGUCACAGUCAUCUCGGCAUGCGUCGCAAUGGCACACAUGAACAGCUUGUUACGUCGACAGGCGUUGUGAUAUCGGACGUCGGAUGUGACAUGUGAUCGAACUGUGCAAUACAGGCUUAUCCGGACAUAGCUGAACUCUAAUGCAUUGGCACUGCCAGUGUCAGUUGAUGUAUCUCCCCAAAAGAGGCAACACAAAUAUCGUGCAAACGCCGAUAGGCUUUAGGUCAUUGAUAACUUAAAGAAUCAUCUUGAUCAUGUACUAGUGUCCACUAUAAGGACUGAAAAAUAAUUGGGAGCCUGCCAUAGCUCAUAUUUGGCUGGGAGUAAUGGGCCGAAUUUACUUAUUUUCUACACCGGAUCCGAGCUGCCGGGAACAUU